rnacentral:lncRNA from 1 species
UGAUAACUAUUCUUUUCUCCUCAGACACCGAGUUAAAGAAGGAAGAGGUUUAUCGGCCGGUAGCAUCGGCAGGACUCCUGUCUCAAGAGCCGAGCUCCCCAGCACAAUUUUCACUCCUCUUUUUAACUAAAAACUGUCUCCUGGCUUCAGUUGCAAGGGAUCUUCAUGAGUGCGACACAAAAGAGAGUGGGAGAAAAGCAUGAACUACAGCCCAGAACAGAAUGACUAAUUCCUGGAGGACGAAUUUGCAUUCAGCUUGAAGGCCAAGAGGUUAGCAUUUCCAACACAAAACAAUUUCGAGUGGGCUCAAUGCUCCCAGUCUUGUCUUAUCCUGGAACCGUCUCUGAAUUCCCCUCUUUCCUUGUUGCUGUGCCUAUGUCCUACUCCAGAGAGAGCUGAUGGUGAGAUGGAACACAAGUGGAGUUUCACUCUUCAUUGGCCAGGCUGGAGUACAAAUGGUGCAAUCUCGGCUCACCGCAACCUCUGCCUCCCAAAUUCAAGUGAUUCUCCUGCCUCAGCCUCCUGAGUAGCUGGGAUUACAGGCACGCACCAUCAUGCCUGGCUCAUUUUUGUAUUUUUAGGAAAGACAGGGUAUCACCAUGGUGGCCAGGCUGGUCUCGAAUUCCUGACCUCAGGUGAUCCACCCGCCUCAGCCUCCCAAAGUGCUAGGAUUAAAGGCAUGAGCCACUGCACCCAGCCUGUUUUCUCAAAUUUAAUUAAUGAUCUUAAAAACAGAAAUAAUAACAACAACUGUAAGUAUUUUUCAGUUGCCUCCCAGGCUGAAGCAAUUCUCUGCCUCAGCCUCCCGAGUAGCUGGGAUUAUAG